GACGAACGCUGGCGGCGUGCUUAACACAUGCAAGUCGAACGGAAAGGCCCUGCUUUUGUGGGGUGCUCGAGUGGCGAACGGGUGAGUAACACGUGAGUAACCUGCCCUUGACUUUGGGAUAACUUCAGGAAACUGGGGCUAAUACCGGAUAGGAGCUCCUGCUGCAUGGUGGGGGUUGGAAAGUUUCGGCGGUUGGGGAUGGACUGGCGGCUUAUCAGCUUGUUGGUGGGGUAGUGGCUUACCAAGGCUUUGACGGGUAGCCGGCCUGAGAGGGUGACCGGCCACCAUGGGACUGAGAUACGGACCAGACUCCUACGGGAGGCAGCAGGCGGGAAUAUUGCACAAUGGGCGGAAGCCUGAUGCAGCAACGCCGCGUGCGGGAUGACCGCCUUCGGGUUGUAAACCGCUUUCGCCCGUGACGAAGCGGGAGUGACGGUAAUGGGUAAAGAAGCACCGGCUAACUACGUG
rnacentral:rRNA from 1 species